UAUGGCCUUAUAUCUGACACACAGGGAGGUAGAAGGAGUAGAAGGCAGUCUUGUACUUUACUAUGGCCUUAUAUCUGACACACAGGGAGGUAGAAGGAGUAGAAGGCAGUCUUGUACUUUACUAUGACCUUAUAUCUGACACACAGGGAGGUAGAAGGAGUAGAAGGCAGUCUUGUACUUUACUAUGGCCUUAUAUCUGACACACAGGGAGGUAGAAGGAGUAGAAGGCAGUCUUGUAC